GCCAGGCAUGGUGGUGCGAGCCUGUAAUCCCAGCUACUUGUGAGGCUGAGGCAGGUGAAUCACUUGAACUCAGGAGGUGGAGGUUGCAGUGAGCUGAGAUCGCACCACUGCACUCCAACCUGAGUGACAGAGUGAGAUUCUGUCUCAAAAAAAAAAAAGAGGAAGGAGAAACAAUGACAAUAGCCCCCAUUGCAGUGAGCCGAGAUAGCGCUACUGCACUCCAGCCUGGGCAACACAGUGAGAUUCUGUCUCA
rnacentral:sRNA from 1 species